UACGAAGGUGGCAAGCGUUGUUCGGAUUUACUGGGCGUACAGGGAGCGUAGGCGGUUGGAUAAGCCCUCCGGGAAAUCUCCAGGCUUAACCUGGAAAGUGCAGAGGGGACUGUUCAGCUAGAGGAUGGGAGAGGAGCGCGGAAUUCCCGGUGUAGCGGUGAAAUGCGUAGAGAUCGGGAGGAAGGCCGGUGGCGAAGGCGGCGCUCUGGAACAUUUCUGACGCUGAGGCUCGAAAGCGUGGGGAGCAAACAGG
rnacentral:rRNA from 1 species